rnacentral:rRNA from 1 species
AACGAACGCUGGCGGCAGGCUUAACACAUGCAAGUCGAGCGCCCCGCCCGGGGAGCGGCAGACGGGUGAGUAACGCGUGGGAAUCUACCGAGCCCUAAGGCAUAGCUCCGGGAAACUGGAAUUAAUACCUUAUACGCCCUAUUGGGGAAAGAUUUAUCGGGGUUUGAUGAGCCCGCGUUGGAUUCGCUAGCUGGUGGGGUAAAGGCCUACUAAGGCGACGAGCCAUCGCUGUUCUGAGAGGAUGAUCAGCCACAUGUGGACUGAGACACGGCCCUAAGUCCUACGGGGGGCAGCAGUGGUGAAUAUUGGACGAUGGGCGCAAGCCUGAUCCAGCUAUGCCGCGUGGGUGAUGAAGGCCUUAGGGUUGUAAAGCUCUUUCACCGGUGAAGAUAAUGACGGUAACCGGAGAAGAAGCCCCGGCUAACUUCGUGCCAGCAGCCGCUGUUAAAC